CAAGGCGCCAUAUUGGAAAAUUGCUCUGUUCAAGCUCGUUAUUUUGUAACAAGAUUUAUCCUUUUUGAACCAUGCCAACUGCUGUUUUAAAAGACGAAAACGUAGACAAAGAAGAGGAUAAUUAUCCAAGGAUUACGAAGAAAGUGCUAAUUCAACUUUGCAAAGAUCACAAAUUGUACAGAACGCCAUAUCUUAAUGAUGUUCUCUACCUUCAUUAUAAAGGGUUUGCAAAGAUAGAAAACCUUGAGGAGUACACAGGCUUAAAAUGCUUAUGGUUGGAAUGCAAUGGAAUCCAUAAGAUUGAAAAUCUGGACAAUCAGAAAGAGUUGCGAUGCUUGUACCUACAACAGAAUCUCAUAACAAAGAUAGAGAAUGUGGAACAUCUGCAACAGCUGGAUACACUUAACGUCAGCAACAACACCAUUUCUAAGAUUGAAAACAUUGGAGCCAUACCCAAACUUAGCACUUUACAGAUAUCACACAACCGUUUGUCAACUGUUGAUGACUUGAGACAUUUGUCAGAAUGUUGUAAUCUGAGUGUUCUUGAUGUUUCCCACAACCGGAUUGACGACCCUGAUGUCGUGAAGGUCUUUGAAUCCAUGGAAAACCUUCAUGUUCUUAAUAUGAUGGGUAACCCGGUCAUCAAGAAAAUCAAGAAUUACAGGAAAAUUUUUAUCAUCAAAAUUAAAGGUCUCAGAUACCUCGAUGACAGACCAGUUUUUCCAAGAGAAAGAGCUUGUGCUGAGGCAUGGGAGAAGGGUGGAGUGGAGGGUGAACGAGAAGAAAGAGAAAGAUGGAUCACACGAGAACAACAAAAAAUCAUGGACAGUUUUAAUGCAAUGGCGAAGAUAAGGGAACAAAACGAGCUAAAGAAGCAGCAGCAGCAAAUUACAUCGAACGAUGAAAACAAAGAAAACAGCAAUGGGCCAAGCGAUGAAAGUAACAGCGAGAGCAGCCAGUACACUGAGCAACAGCAAACGCGUACUGAAGAAAAACAGGAGUCUGAAAUUGUGUCACGUGUGUUAACUACAAAUUGUGUUAACACGAAAACCACUGACCCCAAGGAAGAAGGCGACAAUGAUUGUUCAGCUUCAGAACCUGAGACGCCUUCUUUUCAGGAAAUAGAGACUGUUACAAUCGGAUCUUCCACUGAGAACCAUGUGCUAGCUGAUCAAGGAAUCUUUAGUGGAUCUCGACAGCAUCAAGUUAAGAGGGCUGGUCCUAUGAUUACAGAAAUAGUUGUGGAUGAAGGUAAUGAGGAAGAGAAACGUAAAGGAGAAGGAGUGUUGAUCACAGAAUUAGAAGAAGAUGACAUUGAAACGAUAUCACUGCGAGAGGUUCCUAGGGAAGAGUCACAUGAUUUCCCUGAUCCCCCUGAAGAGGAUUUGCCCGAGUUGGAGGAAAUUGAUGUGACGGAUCCGUUCUUCAUUCGUAGCUUAAACUCCUCUCAUACCAAGAGAAAACCACUUAUUGAGGAGAUGGACAGUAAUUUGGGAUCGCAAGAGAGACCGCUUAUUGAAGAAUACCGACGAGAAGAACUCCCUUUCAGUGACCAAGAAAAAGCCCUACCUGCAAGGAAACCUUUGAUCGAGGAAAUAGACGAAAGGUUUGCACGGUUGGAAACGUCUUCAAAGAAACCAAGUAAAGCACUUAUCGAAGAGCUCGAUGUGGUAGAUGACAGGGAAGAAUCAAAGCCACUUAUUACAGAGAUAUCAUAUGACGAACAGACACCAGAUGCAGAUACUGCUGGAAGGCAAGAAUCUGGGCUCAUCGCCAAAGCUUGUACCCAGUCUACGACUGGUCCAUCUUGGGAAACACUGCAAAGACUCGCUGAACAAGUUGGAUCGACGAUAGAACGGGAGCCACUUGAUAUGAAUAAGGAAAAGAAGGCUUUUAUGAAGAGGAUGCAUGACACCAACUUAGGAGACUUGGACUAAAAACACUAAAACAGCUGAAUGUUAACGGGCUACGUUACAAUAUUUGAGCCAUACUUGAUGACGUGCAUAGCUACCUUCAUAUGUGUGUGGAAAGACAGGAAAACACAAAAGAGGCAAUGAUAAACCAAGAAGGAACAAGAAUGGAGAAGAUUUACAAUGGAUUGCAUGUGAUGGACUGAAAUUGCUCAAACUACUUUGUGAAAAUGCUCUUUUAAGAAUAGUUCAUUAGCAGAAGGCUGAUGAAGAUGCUCGUAUUAUUGUUUACGACCAUCACAUAAGGCUUUGUAUGAUUAUGUGACAACACAGUAACAACAAAAGUACUUACUUUGGUCCCAAAGUGUUCCGUGCAUUUGAGAUUUGUCUUAAAACACGGCGACAGGUGGUUGCCACAUAGAGCUUUAAAUGUUGUCAAUUGCAUGCUAAUUUCACAUCAGGUAAGAUGCGCGAUCAAAAGCAGCUGCAUUUUAUGGUCAUAAUUUCACAUAAAAAUCGUUUAAACGACCCUUGCAAUGCUUGUCUUUGUCAUCCUUUCAGUGGUUCAGGGACUUUUUUCUUCGAUGGUAUGAAAAGUUCGGAAAAGGCCCAAAGGCCAUGUUACAACCCCUUGGUUCGUAUAUAUCUUCUCGAUCAUCGAUUGCAAAGUCAGUAAUUAGCCACAAAAAGUACGCGUCAAAACUGCUGAUAUGAAACUGCGGUGGAAAUAAACGGCCGUAGGAAAUAGAGUUUCCAAGCGGUUCGCUUCGUGGAAGAAAGUAAACUUGUGUCUUUCAGAUCCUCACAGAAGGUACGAAUGUUUGCACCAUAAUCAUCCACUCGAAGGUAGCAAAAUUAUCGCUCCAAUACAAACUCACUUGAAUAUCAGUUCCUCUUUUGAAAGCAAUCGAUAUCGUGACAUCAGCCAUUAAAGUCUGAGGUGGAAAGAAAUCCCAUAAGCUCUUUAUUGAUUCAUGUUCUAUCUCUAGUGAUCGAAAUAAAGAAUUCCAUUUCCGAUGAAAUAUAUUUUCACCAACCGGACGAGUGAAUUUUCAGUCACGUAGAAGUGAGAAUGACGAAGAGUCGUUGUUUUGAAGUAUUCCACAAAUACAUGCCUCCUCUUUAGAGAAAUUGGCUUUUCUUCGAAGGAGCAAAUUUUCGUUGUUUAUUUCUCAUUUUCCAUGUUGUCACUUCUCACUAAAUUAACAACAUUUCCAACAUUGUUUGUUGGCUUAUAUAAAAAGUCACAUACAUCUUUGAAAUGCAUUUUCAAUGGAAAGGUAACACCCUAAUGUGCUUUUUGUGCCUUUAUCAUCGUAAAGACCAUUCUGAAUAUUUUUUCAUGCGAAAUAAUAGCAUUAAUUACGAAAAUUGAUGGGCACAUUUCCAGUUGAAAGCAAUAGAGCAAAGUUGAAGUUUGGCAACGCUGAUGAAUUCAAAAUAACAAAAUAGAAUUCAGUUGUUUCUUCGUUUAAGUUGUACAGAGGAGACCUUUCUAUUUAUCCAUCAGUCACUAUAUGGCGUGAGGUCUUCGAAACCAGACAUUUUCCAAUUACACGAUGCCUUUUCAAUAUUUAGUAACUGCAUUUUUACUGCGAAAUAAAUUGCGACAAUAAAUGCAUUAAUGUUGUAUGAGAAACUUCAGAGUAUAUCGUUCUGUCUCAAACGAAGCUUCAAUUAUGAAUAAAGUUUCUCUGAAGUUGG
rnacentral:misc_RNA from 1 species